UUCUUUAGAUGGGGAUUUUAAGGUAUAGCGUAUUGCAUGGGGUACUCAGAGACGUACUCCUUUUUUUUAUCCUCUCAUCUUUCUCUUAUGAGGUGGAUUGAUUUCGGGGACGAAAUCUUUUGAAGUUGGGGAGAUUCUAACAUUACCGAUUUUUCCUACUUUCUAAUUUCUGAAUUUAUUUUAUUUUUCUGGAUUAUUUUAAUCCUUGCCUCGUUUUGCGUGUCACGCGGGCCCCGAGGGGCGUUAUCGGCAUUUCACAUGUGUAUGUGUAUUUAUAUACAUAAGGGUGGUAUUUAAUGGCAAGGUUGAUGAUAAAAAGAAGUUCAAAGGGCAUUUUCGUCAUUUUAGAGCCAUGGAAUAGCCUAGAGAAUUCUAAAGACAUGAGUGUGGCUUUAUUUUUUUGACCCAUUCUUUUCUUCUUUCAAUUUCCGGACCAUACCCACCCUACAAGCUCUCUUCCUCCAUUUUCUUCUUUCUCUCCCUAUCUCUCUCUUCCUUCUUUCUAAAAUUUGUUCAUGCUAGAGAUGAUUCAGUUUCGGCCAUAGUUGGCAAAUUGUAGAACAUUGCAAGGACUACAUCUUGGUACCGGUAUUGUAAGCUUUUUUGUGGGAUUUGAGUUUGGAGCUUGGAGCUAGAGCUUACUAAGGACUUGAUUGGUUGUUAUCUUGAGGCACUUAUCCCGAAAAUAAGCUAACUCAGCCAAAUAAGAGCUUAAUUGAAGCAAUUCUGGGAUUAAACAAAGAAAGGAGCAAAGUGGAGAAAGAAGGAAGCAAAUGAAGCCAAAGGUGGCAGGCAGCAAAGUUCAAUCGAUCCAAGUUCAAGGUUCGAUCGAUCGAACAAUGAUCAAUUUCAGCACUUCAAAAUAGAUCCAAGCCUUGACCCAAAAGCAUAAAGUUCCAAAAGUUCGAUCGAUCCAACACCAUCCUUCAAUCGAUCGAACACUUUUGUCCUUAUUCAAAUGAUUGAUCAUAUCCACAGCUGUAACACCCAUUAACCACUUUUGUCCUUUUCCCAUAAAUAUCUCUUAUAUAUAUCUCGAAUUUGUCAUUUUCCAAAAAGCUCAGCCAGUUGGAUUGAUCUAGCCUAAGUUCGAUCGAUCUCACUUACUUUCGAUUGAUCUAAGACCAAGGUUCGAUCGAUCGAACUUCCUCCAGUGCGAAAAAGUUAAAAUUCCAUCUCAUUGAAAGUUGUCCUUUAUCCAAUCAUUAGGGAAUAUUGUGUGCACAACCCCAGCUCAUUUUGGGUGUCAUUUUGACCUACCUAUAUAAGGAUAAGGAUUGCUUUUUACAAGGGAGAGUCAACAUUAUUUUUUAUAUCAUCUAUUGGAGAGCAAGCUUAGAGGAGGAGGAGGCUAGAGACACCAUAGGAGUUCUUCAUCAACAAGAAGCAGAUUUCAACCAUGGAGUUAGCCCUUGAGGGUUGGAGCAUCAUCACCAUGAGUGGCUAGACAUCCUCUUGGGGCUAGAGUUAGUCCCAAGCAUGCUUUCUAUAUCUUAAUCUUGUGUAUUUUUGAGGGAUUAGUGUUGUAAUUGAAGUUUUGACAUUUUGAUAUAUAUAGAUCUUGUUUAUUCAAUGA